rnacentral:tRNA from 1 species
GCCGAUGUGGUGGAAUUGGUAGACACGCUGUCUUGAGGGGGCAGUGCUUAACAGCGUGCCGGUUCGAAUCCGGCCAUCGGCACCA